rnacentral:rRNA from 1 species
UACGUAGGGUGCGAGCGUUGUCCGGAAUUAUUGGGCGUAAAGAGCUCGUAGGCGGUGUGUCACGUCGGCCGUGAAAACCUGCAGCUUAACUGUGGGCGUGCGGUCGAUACGGGCAUCACUGGAGUUCGGCAGGGGAGACUGGAAUUCCUGGUGUAGCGGUGAAAUGCGCAGAUAUCAGGAGGAACACCGGUGGCGAAGGCGGGUCUCUGGACCGAUACUGACGCUGAGGAGCGAAAGCGUGGGGAGCGAACAGG